CAAUUUUCAGCGAUGGAUGUCUCGGCUCUGACAACGAUGAAGGGCGCAGCGAAGUGUGAUAACCUUUGUGAAUUGCAGAAUUCCGUGAAUCAACAGAGCUUUGAACGUGUUUUGUGCUUUUGGGAUAUACCUGAUAGCAUGCUUGUUUUGGUGUCUG
rnacentral:rRNA from 1 species